rnacentral:lncRNA from 1 species
AAUCAAUGUGAUCGUGUUGUGGCAGCGAGGGAGAGGCCCAACUGCAUAAAGUUGAAGCUGUCUUGUGAAUCAGAAAAAUGUAUAUAUCCCUAUCUAAGUUACAAUAAAAGAUACAGCAUGAAGUUUCCUCAGCAUUGUAGACAGUGGGGUGAAAAAGCAUCAGGGAGAGUCUGACUAAAAGAGACCUGACAAACCAC